GGACGCAAAACCCAGCAAGACUCUGUCAUGUGUACUCCUGGCUUCUGCUUGGUCCCUCCCACACCAACCCUCUAGGAUAUAGUUCUCCACUCUGACUGACUGAGUUCCCACCUCUGGCCACUGCUGCACAGGGAAGCCACGAUUUCACACAGUUCCAGGACUUACCUCAGCUUCACACUGCUUCUGACACUCUCCUUGGUCCCAGCUCAGUAUCUGUCUGGAUUCUGGUGUCUCGGUUUCAGUUCAGAUAGCCCUAGAGGCCUUGUGUUUGUGCAAGCAUGACAAUGGCAUAUGAAAACUUCCAGAACUUGGGGAGCGAAGAGAAAAACCAAGAGGCUGGUAAAGCAGCUCCUCCCCAGUCCUUCCUGUGCAAUAUCCUCUCUUGGACCCACCUCCUCCUGUUCUCCCUGGGCCUUAGCCUCCUGCUGCUGGUGGUUAUCUCCGUGAUUGGAUCCCAAAGUGGGUUGCAGGGAAGGGAGGAAUCACAGGGCGUGUGGUCGGGGUGGAGGGAGAGGACCUUAGCAGGGCAAUGAUUGGUGCAGAGGGCACAGAUGGACAGCAGC
rnacentral:lncRNA from 1 species